rnacentral:rRNA from 1 species
GACGAACGCUGGCGGCGUGCUUAACACAUGCAAGUCGAGCGGUAAGGCCCUUUCGGGGGUACGACGAGCGGCGAACGGGUGAGUAACACGUGGGUGACCUGCCCUCAGCUCUGGGAUAAGCCCGGGAAACUGGGUCUAAUACUGGAUAUGACUCCAUGACGCAUGUUGUGGGGUGGAAAGCCUUGUGCGGCUGAGGAUGGGCCCGCGGCCUAUCAGCUUGUUGGUGGGGGNGAUGGCCUACCAAGGCGACGACGGGUAGCCGGCCUGAGAGGGCGGACCGGCCACACGUGGGACUGAGAC